CGCCUGUCGCUCCUACCGAUUGGGUGUGCUGGUGAGAUGUCGGGAUUAGUGGCUGUGGGCGGUUCGCCGCCCUCUGCCGCUGAGAACUUCAUCAAACCCUCCCACCUAGAGGAAGGAGAAGUCGUAACAAGGUUCCU
rnacentral:rRNA from 1 species